GCCUAACACAUGCAAGUCGAACGCAGUAGCAAUACUGAGUGGCAGACGGGUGAGUAACAUGUGGGAAUCUGCCUUGUGGUUCAGGACAACAUUGGGAAACCGAUGCUAAUACUGGAUAAGCCCUUACGGGGAAAGUUUUAAUGCCAUAAGAUGAGCCCGCAUUUGAUUAGUUAGUUGGUGAGGUAAUGGCUCACCAAGACAAUGAUCAAUAGCUGAUCUGAGAGGAUGAUCAGCCACACUGGGACUGAGACACGGCCCAGACUCCUACGGGAGGCAGCAGUGGGGAAUCUUGCACAAUGGAGGAAACUCUGAUGCAGCGAUGCCGCGUGAGUGAAGAAGGCCUUUGGGUUGUAAAGCUCUUUUGUAGGGGAAGAUAAUGACUGUACCCUAAGAAUAAGGUCCGGCUAACUUCGUGCCAGCAGCCGCGGUAAUACGAAGGGACCUAGCGUAGUUCGGAAUUACUGGGCGUAAAGCGCGCGUAGGCCGUUGAGUUAGUUAAUUGUGAAAUCCCAAAGCUUAACUUUGGAACCGCAAUUAAAACUGCUCGACUAGAGUUUGAUAGAGGAAAGCGGAAUACAUAGUGUAGAGGUGAAAUUCGUAGAUAUUAUGUAGAACACCAGUUGCGAAGGCGGCUUUCUGGAUCAACACUGACGCUGAGGCGCGAAAGUAUGGGUAGCAAAGAGGAUUAGAUACCCUCGUAGUCCAUACCAUAAACGAUGAUUGCUAGAUGUUGGAAAUUUAUUUUCAGUAUCGCAGCUAACGCAUUAAGCAAUCCGCCUGGGGAGUACGACCGCAAGGUUAAAACUCAAAUGAAUUGACGG
rnacentral:rRNA from 1 species